GGCAAAGAUUUUUUUUUUGGUUUUUUGUCUCCAAAUUUUUUCUACUAACUUUACACUUUAUUUUGAAGCCUAAGUUGAAAUUUGGCACAAUUCUCGAUAUAUUUCAUAUAUAUAUUUAAUUUAUUUUGCUUAAACGUAUUUCUUCCGAAAAUACAAUAUUGAACUACAGGUGCAUCCAAUCAUAGAAUUAGUUGGUUGGAAAAAUGAUAUUCACAAUACUUACUAUAGUUUGAGAAUAUUUUCAAGAGCACACCCGGAAUUUCGAACGUCUUAUACACGAAAUAUGGCGACAAAGUUGCGGGAGAAAUGCAUUUUAAUUUUAUAAAUUGCAAAUGAAGUCCAAAAAUCUUAAAACUUG
rnacentral:lncRNA from 1 species